rnacentral:rRNA from 1 species
UCGGGAAUCUUGCACAAUGGGCGAAAGCCUGAUGCAGCAACGCCGUGUGAGCGAGGAAGGUCUUCGGAUCGUAAAGCUCUGUUGUUGGGGACGAAGGGCGAAGGGUUAAUAGCCCCUAGCCUGACGGUACCCUUCGAGGAAGCCCCGGCUAACUACGUGCCAGCAGCCGCGGUAAUACGUAGGGGGCGAGCGUUGUCCGGAAUUAUUGGGCGUAAAGCGUCCGCAGGUGGUGUUUCAAGUCUGCUGUCAAAGACCGAAGCUUAACUUCGGGCAGGCGGUGGAAACUGAAACACUAGAGUACGGUAGGGGUAGAGGGAAUUUCCAGUGUAGCGGUGAAAUGCGUAGAGAUUGGAAAGAACACCAGUGGCGAAGGCGCUCUACUGGACCGUAACUGACACUCAGGGACGAAAGCUAGGGUAGCGAAAGGGAUUAGAUACCCCCGUAGUCC